rnacentral:lncRNA from 1 species
CGUUUUCAAAAUCCUAUUGAAAAGGUCAGUGAGCCAUGUUAUACCUGUCUCUCCCAAAACUUUCCACACUUCGAUUGGUAUAUCGUCUGGGCCUACUGCUUUUCUAUGCUUCAUCUUCUUCAAAGCUACAACCACUUAUUCCUUCCGGAUUCGACGAUAAAAAGAGUAGUUUCUACACUCUUCUGAGUUACUCAACUCCCCUAAAGAAGCACUCAUUUCAUGUCCUUCAUUGAAAAGAUUAUGAAAAU